rnacentral:rRNA from 1 species
UACGUAGGGGGCCAGCGUUGUCCGGAAUCAUUGGGCGUAAAGCGCGCGUAGGCGGUCAGGUAAGUCCGGUGUGAAAGUCAUAGGCUCAACCCUGGAAUGCCGGUGGAAACUGCCGGGCUGGAGUCCGGAAGAGGCGAGUGGAAUUCCUGGUGUAGCGGUGAAAUGCGCAGAUAUCAGGAGGAACACCAAUGGCGAAGGCAGCUCGCUGGGACGGUACUGACGCUGAGACGCGAAAGCGUGGGGAGCAAACAGG